CUCCCAUGAAAGCUUUAUUUACACUGCUGCUUCCAGACUGCAGCUCUUCACAAAAUCAGAGAAACAGCACCCAGUCAGUGGGUUCAAUGCAUGGUGAGGACAUGUUGAGGUUCAGGGCAGGGAGGUGGCCAUGAUCACAGCUGUGGCCAUGCUCAGGAGGGGAUGGAAGAGGGUGGUAGUGGCAAGAGUGGAGAGACCAGUGCUUAGGACUCGCCGGCCUCAAACAUCUUCUUCCUGCCCUCCAUGCCGGAUUUCUCCUCAAUGUUCUUCCUCCAGUCACCCACAUCGCGGAGGUCCUUCUUCUCCGUGUCCUCCUUCUUGACUUGCUUCAGGUUGGCCCGGAGGUCCAUGUUGACCUUGUGCUUGGAGCCCAGCAGGGCACGCAGCAUGGCAUCAGCAGACAUGCGCACCCGGCGCAGAGGUGGCCUCUUGAACUUGCCCCUCAGGUCAAACAGCUUCUGGCUCAGGUCCUCCAGCUCCUUGUUAGUCUUCUGUAGCUUCACCUCUGUGUCAUACCUUUCCUCAUCCACUGAGUCUAUCUUGGCAUGAAGCUUUUUGCACAGUUCCUGAAGUUCCUGCAUGGAUCCUGGGAGGGACAGAGGAGGGCAAUGCUCUGCCAGGUAGUUUUGCUUUUCCACUUCUUUAGCAGCUGCUUCUUUUUCUAUUUCAGUGACAGCAAGCUGGAGCAUAGCACUCUUCAGGUGCUGCCGCCGGGCGGUGGCUGCCCUCCUCUUUUUCUCUUCAUCAGACAUCUUGCUUUAGAUGGUUGUGAAC
rnacentral:lncRNA from 1 species